rnacentral:rRNA from 1 species
CAGCCGCCGCGGGAAUACGAAGGGUGCAAGCGUUACUCGGAAUUACUGGGCGUAAAGCGUGCGUAGGUGGUGGUUUAAGUCCGUUGUGAAAGCCCUGGGCUCAACCUGGGAAUUGCAGUGGAUACUGGGUCACUAGAGUGUGGUAGAGGAUAGUGGAAUUUCCGGUGUAGCAGUGAAAUGCGUAGAGAUCGGAAGGAACAUCUGUGACGAAGGCGACUAUCUGGGCCAACACUGACACUGAGGCACGAAAGCGUGGGGAGCAAACAGGAUUAGAUACCCCCGUAGUCCCUGUCUCUUAUAC